ACUCAAAUGAAUUGACGGGGACCCGCACAAGCGGUGGAGCAUGUGGUUUAAUUCGACGCAACGCGAAGAACCUUACCUGGGUUAAAUCCCAGACCGCAGCCCCAGAGAUGGGGUCUCCCUUCGGGGGGUCUGGGAAGGUGCUGCAUGGCUGUCGUCAGCUCGUGCCGUGAGGUGUUGGGUUAAGUCCCGCAACGAGCGCAACCCUUACCACUAGUUGCCAGCAGGUCAAGCUGGGCACUCUAUUGGGACUGCCGGUGACAAACCGGAGGAAGGUGGGGAUGACGUCAAGUCAUCAUGGCCUUUAUGUCCAGGGCUACACACGUGCUACAAUGGCAGGAACAAAGCGCUGCAAACCCGCGAGGGGGAGCCAAUCGCAAAAAUCCUGUCUCAGUUCGGAUUGGAGUCUGCAACUCGACUCCAUGAAGUUGGAAUCGCUAGUAAUCGCGGAUCAGCACGCCGCGGUGAAUACGUUCCCGGGUCUUGUACACACCGCCCGU
rnacentral:rRNA from 1 species